GUGGAUUAGAUACCCUGGUAGUCCAUGCCGUAAACGAUGUCAACUAGGUGUUGGGGAACUUGAUUCCUUAGUGCCGCAGCUAACGCAUUAAGUUGACCGCCUGGGGAGUACGACCGCAAGGUUAAAACUCAAAUGAAUUGACGGGGGCCCGCACAAGCGGUGGAGCAUGUGGUUUAAUUCGAUGCAACGCGAAGAACCUUACCUACUCUUGACAUCCAGAGAAUCCUGUAGAGAUACGGGAGUGCCUUCGGGAAUUCUGAGACAGGUGCUGCACGGUCGUCGCCAGCU
rnacentral:rRNA from 1 species